UUGCUCUUGCUCCUUCGCCUGCUUGCCGUGUGAGACUGAGUGACUGCUAGAUCCUUGGAUUUCCAUUCACAGCUGCGACUGAACAAUUGUAAGGAAUUGGGCUGCCGACUGUUGGCACACGCCCUUCAGAGCAGGGCAGCGGGGACAAUCCAUCAUAUCAGACAAAUCUGGCAACUGACCCUCCAACAAAAGCCAGGGCCUUUCCUUCGGUGCUGGACUGUGCUGUGACCCCAGCUGGAGGAGAAUACCUUCAGAGUGUCAGAUACUGUGAUCCCAGCUGCCCGCAGCCCGAUUUCUCCCCAGACUGGAGCGUCUACCUAGACUCUAGCCCAGGUCUCAGAGCCCAGACCUGGCUUCCAGCUCACGCAACCCUGCCUUUGUGGAAGAAGAAACUUUCUCCUCACCUAACACAUGCCUGCUCAGGACGACAGAGGCACAGCAGGAGUCUGAGCCCUGUGGCUCUGUUCACUUUUUCCUAGUGCUGGCAGAGACAUAAACAUGUGCAGGAGCCUGCGUUCCACCUAAGGCUGGCUAAACAGAAGUCUCCAGAGGAAGUUGGCAAGCUUGAGGAGGACUGGGGCCCAGAGGACGUUACUGAUGGCAUCUAUUUCUGGAAUCCAGCACUCAGGUCUAACCUACCAAAGACACCACCCAGCUACAAACACAACCAGCUC
rnacentral:lncRNA from 1 species